CGAGAAUGGGUCUGCCCUAGUCCAAAAAGUUGCUCCUUGGAACUCAUCCUGGUCAUCAGCUGCCGAGAGAGUGCUGAUCUGUUCACCCUUCUACUUGAGUCUUUUGGGUCAUCGCUGGGCUUGGCCACACUGAGAAGCUGAAUAGAUGCCUGAAUACAGUAUAACAAAGAGCAGAUGAAUCUGUUUUUCUGGGCCUCGCUUCCAUUCUUAUAGAUAAUGAGGCUGCAGGCCCAGACGCCUUUGUAAUUUACACGGCACGUUCCUUAAACCCAUGCCCUUUAUCUGAAGUUGGCACCAGGGACCACGGGGGCGAGUCUGAGUUUUCAUGACAGCGUAUGAUUUUCAAGGCAUUUAACACACGUUGCCUCAUCGAAUCUUCAGAACAACCCGAGAGAUAGAAUAAUGUUUUUCUUCAUUUUUAU